AUUGAACGCUGGCGGCAGGCCUAACACAUGCAAGUCGAGCGGGGUUUUCGGACCUAGCGGCGGACGGGUGAGUAAUGCGUAGGAAGCUGCCCGAUAGAGGGGGAUACCAGUUGGAAACGACUGUUAAUACCGCAUAAUGUCUACGGACCAAAGUGUGGGACCUUCGGGCCACAUGCUAUCGGAUGCGCCUACGUGGGAUUAGCUAGUUGGUGAGGUAAUGGCUCACCAAGGCGACGAUCUCUAGCUGGUUUGAGAGGAUGAUCAGCCACACUGGAACGGAGACAAGGUCCAGACUCCUACGGGAGGCAGCAGUGGGGAAUAUUGGACAAUGGGCGCAAGCCUGAUCCAGCCAUGCCGCGUGUGUGAAGAAGGCCUUCGGGUUGUAAAGCACUUUCAGCGAGGAGGAAGGGUGGUGUGUUAAUAGCACAUCAUUUUGACGUUACUCGCAGAAGAAGCACCGGCUAACUCUGUGCCAGCAGCCGCCGUAACAC
rnacentral:rRNA from 1 species